rnacentral:misc_RNA from 1 species
AAGUCGUAACAAGGUUUCCGUAGGUGAACCUGCGGAAGGAUCAUUAAUACGCUUUUGUUUGUAACAAAACAAAACGUUUUAAACUCCAAAAGAGAUAGUGGAAAUAUAACUUCCGGAUGCGAAUGUUGGGAACUGAGUAAAAUUGGUUCUUUGAAAAGGGACUUCAAGUAAAAUUGACACUUCAGAGUAGAGCAGUGAGGUGAAACUCUCUUUAACGAGAGAGUUUGUGUACGAGAGAGUUUGGUUCUGAAAAACAUUUGUAUCCGGUUAUAACAUCUGUUCUACAACCAAAAUAUCAAACAAUAAACCCCAUGUACAACAACUUGAACUAAACAUUUUUUUGUUGUCCGCUCGCACACUUGUUGUGUGAGAAGAUACUACAAAGAAAAAACCUGAACUUAAGAACAACUCUUAACAACGGAUAUCUUGGUUCUC